rnacentral:lncRNA from 1 species
CCAGACAACAAUGGGUAACUCUUCCCCCAGAGGAGGUGCUGGUAUCAAAUCCCUAGUCCAAGGCUCCAGCUACAACAUUGAGGUGACAGGCUCAGGAGGCGGCCACUUCAAAGCACGGCCCUAGGUGGAGGCUCUGGUAGGACUUGUUCUGAUUAAGGCUUUCAAAAGUGGACGUAGUUCUUCUCUUUCAUAGGGAAGGAAAGAAUUUAGCCUUCUGUGAGUAGCUGGUUGCUCCAACGUCACUUUGUAAUAGUCCAGUUUGCUUUUAGGGAGGGACACCCCAGGAGACUUGGUUUAUUACCUCCUACAAAAUGGCAGAAGUUGAGAAGUGGAAAACAGAAACAGGAAGCAACAUUUUCUCCCUGGCUGAGGAGUUCAUCCUGGGAGUGUGGGCUCCGUCAGAGGCAGAGUUGCCAUCUCCAGGUCCCACUGCACCCCGACCUCCUGCCUCAGGUGUUAUAGUCCUACUUGGCCUGGCAGGGAAGAGCUCUCUGGUUGGUACCAAAACCUAAGCCCCAGCCAUGGUCCUGCCCACAACACUCUGCAGACCUGAGUCAUCCCCUCACCCCCUACUCUGGACAGGCAGGCGGCCAAUGUAGCGGGCUGAGAUCCCCCAAAUGAAGCCAAGGGCAGAUUUCAGAGGUCUGCAACUUUUGGACAGCUCCCUUGUUCUUGUUCCUCUCUCUCUCCCCCUCCCCCAUCCAGUGCCUGCCCUUUUUGGACAGCACCCUUGCUGCUCUUCUUCUUCCUCUUCCUCUUCUCCUCCUCCUCUUUCUCCUUUUCUUGGUCCUUUUCUAAAAAAUGGAUUCUUCAAUUCAUGGGACACAUUUGGAGGACACCAGAAAGUGGGGCGGGAAGAUAGCUUUCCAUUCCUAUCAGCCAGUUCCCACCAUGGAGGAAGGGAGGUGGCUCAGGAGAGGGAAGCAGGCUGAGAGCCUGGGCCUGCAGGGAGGGAGAAAGAAGGGUAUGUGUGCUGGAGGUCUAGGGACGGGAAAGGGAUCUUGGCAGCAUCUUUAAUCAGAAAUUAAAGGGUUUCCUGACAAUGAAGGUACUAGAAUAGGAACUUGGAACCCUGGCUUCCUGGUACCAAUGAUAGCAAAUCCUGGGUGUGGACUGCAUUCUGGGAAUUCUACGCAAGUGUCCUAGAGGCUGUAAUCUCGCCACAAAUCUCCAGGGCAGAUUCUAUUUUUACUGCUAUUUUGCGGAUGAGGAAACAGGCUUCAGUAUGGUUAGGGAGCAUCCCCAAGGCCACACAGCUGGUUAGUGGUAGAGAACAGAUUAAUCCCUGGUUUUAUUUGAUCCCUAAUGCCUAUGCUUUUAACCACCCCAAACUGAUUUGGGCGUGCGAGAAUCAUGAAUGUCUCUGGACAGAGCAAAUGAUGGCUGAGUCUCCCUCCACUGGGCGUCCUCUGCAGUCCGAGAGGCUCUGCCUCUCCAUCCUGCAGGGAAUCCCGCAGUAAUAUGCUCCACCAUCAGCUGCGGGGUUGUCUUUGAAUUGCUGGAACAUUCUUAGAGCAUAUUCUUGUCCACUUCCUCUGAUCUGGUCCUAGAUGUUAAGGCAAGGAGACACAGGGAGAUUGUCCAGUCUAGUGUCCCCACCCUCACAAUCUCUUAUCAGUAGGAAAACUGAGGCAUAGAGUGUUGAGACUCAUUUAAGGCUGCACAGGGAGCAGCAGUGGCGCUAGGACCUGUCCCUGGACUCUAUUCCCGACAACUCUGUACCUGAUGUUCAAGUCUUUACUUAUGAUGUCGCCCCACCGCCCAUUUUAAAGACCCACUGCUAGGUUCUUGGGCAUUAAUCUGUCUGCAGCUUUCUUGC